GGUUAAGCGACUAAGCGUACACGGUGGAUGCCCUGGCAGUCAGAGGCGAUGAAGGACGUGCUAAUCUGCGAAAAGCGCCGGCGAGGUGAUAUGAACCUUUGACCCGGCGAUGUCCGAAUGGGGAAACCCAGUGCAAUCCGUUGCACUAUCGUUAACUGAAUACAUAGGUUAACGAGGCGAACCGGGGGAACUGAAACAUCUAAGUACCCCGAGGAAAAGAAAUCAACCGAGAUUCCCCCAGUAGCGGCGAGCGAACGGGGAGCAGCCCGGAGUCUGAAUCAGCUUGUGUGUUAGUGGAACGGUCUGGAAAGUCCGACGGUACAGGGUGAUAGUCCCGUACACGAAAGCACACAUGCUGUGAACUCGAAGAGUAGGGCGGGACACGUGGUAUCCUGUCUGAAUAUGGGGGGACCAUCCUCCAAGGCUAAAUACUCCUGACUGACCGAUAGUGAACCAGUACCGUGAGGGAAAGGCGAAAAGAACCCCGGCGAGGGGAGUGAAAAAGAACCUGAAACCGUGUACGUACAAGCAGUGGGAGCCUCUUUAUGGGGUGACUGCGUACCUUUUGUAUAAUGGGUCAGCGACUUAUAUUCUGUAGCAAGGUUAACCGUAUAGGGGAGCCGAAGGGAAACCGAGUCUUAACUGGGCGUUAAGUUGCAGGGUAUAGACCCGAAACCCGGUGAUCUAGCCAUGGGCAGGUUGAAGGUUGGGUAACACUAACUGGAGGACCGAACCGACUAAUGUUGAAAAAUUAGCGGAUGACCUGUGGCUGGGGGUGAAAGGCCAAUCAAACCGGGAGAUAGCUGGUUCUCCCCGAAAGCUAUUUAGGUAGCGCCUCGUGAAUUCAUCUUCGGGGGUAGAGCACUGUUUCGGCUAGGGGGCCAUCCCGGCUUACCAACCCGAUGCAAACUACGAAUACCGAAGAAUGUUAUCACGGGAGACACACGGCGGGUGCUAACGUCCGUCGUGAAGAGGGAAACAACCCAGACCGCCAGCUAAGGUCCCAAAGUCAUGGUUAAGUGGGAAACGAUGUGGGAAGGCACAGACAGCCAGGAUGUUGGCUUAGAAGCAGCCAUCAUUUAAAGAAAGCGUAAUAGCUCACUGGUCGAGUCGGCCUGCGCGGAAGAUGUAACGGGGCUAAACCAUGCACCGAAGCUGCGGCAGCGACGCUUAGGCGUUGUUGGGUAGGGGAGCGUUCUGUAAGCCGUUGAAGGUGUCCUGUGAGGGGUGCUGGAGGUAUCAGAAGUGCGAAUGCUGACAUAAGUAACGAUAAAGCGGGUGAAAAGCCCGCUCGCCGGAAGACCAAGGGUUCCUGUCCAACGUUAAUCGGGGCAGGGUGAGUCGACCCCUAAGGCGAGGCCGAAAGGCGUAGUCGAUGGGAAACAGGUUAAUAUUCCUGUACUUGGUGUUACUGCGAAGGGGGGACGGAGAAGGCUAUGUCAGCCGGGCGACGGUUGUCCCGGUUUAAGCAUGUAGGCGGAGGUUCCAGGUAAAUCCGGUACCUUAUUAACGCUGAGGUGUGAUGACGAGGCACUACGGUGCUGAAGUGAUAAAUGCCCUGCUUCCAGGAAAAGCCUCUAAGCAUCAGGUAACACGAAAUCGUACCCCAAACCGACACAGGUGGUCAGGUAGAGAAUACCAAGGCGCUUGAGAGAACUCGGGUGAAGGAACUAGGCAAAAUGGUGCCGUAACUUCGGGAGAAGGCACGCUGAUAUGUAGGUGAAGCCCCUGCGGGCGGAGCUGAAAUCAGUCGAAGAUACCAGCUGGCUGCAACUGUUUAUUAAAAACACAGCACUGUGCAAACACGAAAGUGGACGUAUACGGUGUGACGCCUGCCCGGUGCCGGAAGGUUAAUUGAUGGGGUUAGCGGCAACGCGAAGCUCUUGAUCGAAGCCCCGGUAAACGGCGGCCGUAACUAUAACGGUCCUAAGGUAGCGAAAUUCCUUGUCGGGUAAGUUCCGACCUGCACGAAUGGCGUAAUGAUGGCCAGGCUGUCUCCACCCGAGACUCAGUGAAAUUGAACUCGCUGUGAAGAUGCAGUGUACCCGCGGCAAGACGGAAAGACCCCGUGAACCUUUACUAUAGCUUGACACUGAACACUGGUCCUUGAUGUGUAGGAUAGGUGGGAGGCUUUGAAGCGUGGACGCCAGUCUGCGUGGAGCCAACCUUGAAAUACCACCCUUUAAUGGCUGGUGUUCUAACGUAGACCCGUAAUCCGGGUUGCGGACAGUGUCUGGUGGGUAGUUUGACUGGGGCGGUCUCCUCCCAAAGAGUAACGGAGGAGCACGAAGGUUGGCUAAUCCUGGUCGGACAUCAGGAGGUUAGUGCAAUGGCAUAAGCCAGCUUGACUGCGAGCGUGACGGCGCGAGCAGGUGCGAAAGCAGGUCAUAGUGAUCCGGUGGUUCUGAAUGGAAGGGCCAUCGCUCAACGGAUAAAAGGUACUCCGGGGAUAACAGGCUGAUACCGCCCAAGAGUUCAUAUCGACGGCGGUGUUUGGCACCUCGAUGUCGGCUCAUCACAUCCUGGGGCUGAAGUAGGUCCCAAGGGUAUGGCUGUUCGCCAUUUAAAGUGGUACGCGAGCUGGGUUUAGAACGUCGUGAGACAGUUCGGUCCCUAUCUGCCGUGGGCGCUGGAGAAUUGAGGGGGGCUGCUCCUAGUACGAGAGGACCGGAGUGGACGCAUCACUGGUGUUCGGGUUGUCAUGCCAAUGGCACUGCCCGGUAGCUAAAUGCGGAAGAGAUAAGUGCUGAAAGCAUCUAAGCACGAAACUUGCCCCGAGAUGAGUUCUCCCUGAGACUUUAAGUCUCCUGAAGGAACGUUGAAGACUACGACGUUGAUAGGUCGGGUGUGUAAGCGCAGCGAUGCGUUGAGCUAACCGAUACUAAUGAACCGUGAGGCUUAACCUU
rnacentral:rRNA from 1 species